UACGUAGGGUGCAAGCGUUGUCCGGAAUUAUUGGGCGUAAAGCGAACGUAGGCGGUGUUCCAUGUCAGAGGUGAAAGCCUGGAGCUCAACUCCGGGUCUGCCAUGCGAACUGGCAGGCUUGAGCACGGUAGAGGCCAAUGGAAUUCCGGGUGUAGCGGUGGAAUGCGUAGAGAUCCGGAAGAACACCGGUGGCGAAGGCGGUUCUCUGGGCAACAACUGACGCUGAGGAGGCGAAAGCGUGGGGAGCGAACAGG
rnacentral:rRNA from 1 species